AGUGAACGCUGGCGGUAGGCCUAACACAUGCAAGUCGAACGGCAGCACAGGAGAGCUUGCUCUCUGGGUGGCGAGUGGCGGACGGGUGAGGAAUACAUCGGAAUCUACUCUGUCGUGGGGGAUAACGUAGGGAAACUUACGCUAAUACCGCAUACGACCUACGGGUGAAAGCAGGGGACCUUCGGGCCUUGCGCGAUUGAAUGAGCCGAUGUCGGAUUAGCUAGUUGGCGGGGUAACGGCCCACCAAGGCGACGAUCCAUAGCUGGUCUGAGAGGAUGAUCAGCCACACUGGAACUGAGACACGGUCCAGACUCCUACGGGAGGCAGCAGUGGGGAAUAUUGGACAAUGGGCGCAAGCCUGAUCCAGCCAUACCGCGUGGGUGAAGAAGGCCUUCGGGUUGUAAAGCCCUUUUGUUGGGAAAGAAAUCCAGCUGGCUAAUACCCGGUUGGGAUGACGGUACCCAAAGAAUAAGCACCGGCUAACUUCGUGCCAGCAGCCGCAGUAA
rnacentral:rRNA from 1 species